UACGGAGGGUGCAAACGUUGCUCGGAAUCAUUGGGCGUAAAGCGCACGUAGGCGGUCCGUUAAGUCGGGUGUGAAAUCCCUCGGCUCAACCGAGGAAGUGCAUUCGGAACUGGCGGACUUGAAUAUGGAAGAGGGUCGUGGAAUUCCCGGUGUAGAGGUGAAAUUCGUAGAUAUCGGGAGGAACACCAGUGGCGAAGGCGGCGACCUGGGCCAAUAUUGACGCUGAGGUGCGAAAGCGUGGGGAGCAAACAGG
rnacentral:rRNA from 1 species